rnacentral:misc_RNA from 1 species
UCCGGUUUGUCACCGGCAGUCUCGCAUGAGUCCCCAACUUAAUGCUGGCAACAUGCGACGGGGGUUGCGCUCGUUGCGGGACUUAACCCAACAUCUCACGACACGAGCUGACGACAACCAUACACCACCUGUAAACCGACCGCAAGCGGGGCACCUGUCUCCAGGCGUUUCCGGUUCAUGUCAAGCCUUGGUAAGGUUCUUCGCGUUGCAUCGAAUUAAUCCGCAUGCUCCGCCGCUUGUGCGGGCCCCCGUCAAUUCCUUUGAGUUUUAGCCUUGCGGCCGUACUCCCCAGGCGGGGCACUUAAUGCGUUAGCUACGGCACGGAACCCGUUGAUAAGGCCCCACACCUAGUGCCCAACGUUUACGACGUGGACUAC